GUUGAAACCCCUCCUACCCUGCUGAAAACGGCCUCUUUCCCCUCAAGAACAUUUGCAAACAUAAGGCAGUUUCACCACAGACUGCAGAAAAGAAAUGAAAGCGUGCCUCACAUUUCAAGAACAUUUAGUUUUAUUGCCCAGAUCUCAUUCAGCUCCAGGAAAUGCAAUUCCCAGGUUUGCCCUUUCCCUCAGCAGCUUGCCCAUGGUCCCGUCUGCAGCAUCUGCUCUGCCAAUCCUCCCACUGGGGGAAGGAUCCACGGUUGUGCCAACAGGGAAUUUCUGCUCCAGGAGAGGCAACAGUCUCAUAAACUCACUCUGCUGUGAUGGUGGAGAUUCAGGGCAUGAACCAGCACAACCCUCUGGAAUGCAGCAGCCCUGGUGAUGCCGUGGCCAUGUCACAGGAGGCACCAGCUUUCUAUAAGGACACUGAUCUAAGGAUAAGGAAACAGCUCCAUCCAGAUCCCUCCAUGGUCCUACAGGCAGCUGGAAGCUCCCCACAGCCACCACUGGAGAUCCUCCUCACCCCCCUUAACUGGGUGUGAAACUUAUGACAGAAUAAGAAAGUCAUAAAAAUAAUAAUGAAAAA
rnacentral:lncRNA from 1 species